GUCCUUUUGAGAAUGAUUUAAGGUCUAGCCUGCUCAAUGAUAAUUUAAAUAGCUGCAGUAUUUUGACUGUACAAAGGUAGCAUAAUCAUUAGUUUUUUAAUUGGAAGCUUGUAUGAAUGGCUGAAUAAGAAAAAGACUGUCUAUUUAUAAUUUUAUAGAAUUUUAUUUUUAAGUUAAAAAGCUUAUAUUUAAUUAAAAGACGAGAAGACCCUAUAGAGUUUAAUUAAUUUUUUUUUAUUAAAUUUUAGUAUUAUAUAUUUUUAAAUAAAAAGUUUAAUUUGAUUGGGGUGAUUUUAAAAUUUAAUUAACUUUUAUAUAUUGUUUACAUUAAUUUAUGAUUUUUUGAUCCAUACUUUUUGAUUAUUAGAUUAAAUUACCUUAGGGAUAACAGCGUAAUUUUUUUGGAGAGUUCUUAUUGAUAAAAAAGAUUGCGACCUCGAUGUUGGAUUAAAAUUUACUAUUGGCGCAGAAGUUAAUGGGUUGGGUCUGUUCGACCUUUAAAAUUUU
rnacentral:rRNA from 1 species